CAGCCGCCACGGUAAUACGAAGGGGGCUAGCGUUGUUCGGAAUUACUGGGCGUAAAGCGCACGUAGGCGGAUUGUUAAGUUAGGGGUGAAAUCCCAGGGCUCAACCCUGGAACUGCCUUUAAUACUGGCAAUCUCGAGUCCGAGAGAGGUGAGUGGAAUUCCGAGUGUAGAGGUGAAAUUCGUAGAUAUUCGGAGGAACACCAGUGGCGAAGGCGGCUCACUGGCUCGGUACUGACGCUGAGGUGCGAAAGCGUGGGGAGCAAACAGGAUUAGAUACCCGAGUAGUCCCUGUCUCUUAUAC
rnacentral:rRNA from 1 species